rnacentral:lncRNA from 1 species
CAAACUUUGGAGGUGGAGGCUCUCAGGAAAUGGAUAGAACCUAAUGGGUCGCUAUCGGGGCAGUCAGAGAGCUCCAGACAUCGGAGAUGUCAAGGGACGAAGUGGCAAUAUCAAUCUGACACUACUUCUGAGCUAAACAGAUAGCUCUCUCCAGUAUUCGAUGAGUAGGAAUCACCUCACUGUCGAAGACAAAGCUGUUCCUUAACAACUAAAUCUGAUAAGCAAUAUAAACCAUCCACCCACC